AGUUCAAAAAUCCUGUUUCUACCGGAGAAUUCACUCUUUAUUUAACUAUUUUCGUCGUCUUGAUUUCUUAAACAAUUUUCCUAGUUUUCUAUGCAGAAUUGGGGCUGCUGGGAAACUCAAUCGUUUCAAGAGUGAGAAAAUUAGUGUAGUAUAUGUAUUUGUUAUUAUUAUUUUUAAAAUUUUUGGUUUGGUUAUUUUCUAGGGUUGUCUUUGAAUCAUGCUAAAGGUUGAAAGAAUUGGAGUAACAGAAGAAGGGAUUUCUUCACUUUGUUGCUCAAGGAGGAAAUUUAAACGUUUGCAAAUACUUGCUUGAGACGUUGAAACUUGACGUGGAUUUCAAAGACGGAAAGGGGGAUUUCAUACAGCUUCAAGAGAUUUUGUCUUUGUUUGAGAAAUGGGGACACACCACUGUAUUAUGCAGUUGCAAAAUGGCAUUAGGAUACUGUUAGAUAUCUUCUUGAGAACGGUGCCAAUGCUGAUGCAUCAGAUGAUACUAAUCAGCCUCCUUUGCAUUUUGCUCCAAAGACAGGCUUGGUGAUACAAAGAUAAUAACCUUGUUACUUUCAAGGGGUGAUCACGUUGAAUGUUGCAACUAGUGCUGGCACUGCCUUUGAGCUUGCUGCUGGUCUCGGUCACCGAGAUGCUGUUGAAGUGUUGUUGGAUCACGGUGCUAUGUUCUUUUGCUGCCAGAUGUUUGUGGUCAGGGUUUGCUUAGACCGCUAAUUUCAGCAAUUUUUAUCAGUCAUGGGAAUGUGUGGAACUAUUACCAAAGACUAGCGGCGGCCCACUUUAUUGCAGGCUAGGCUCAGACUAGGGCUGGGCUAGGUUGAGUUGUUAGCAUCUCAGGUCGGCUUUCUCUGUUACCAGACAGCCAGACCUGUUCAAUUCAUCCAGCUAAGUACCUAUACUAGUUUCUACCAUCUUACAUAUUCUACAUUCACCGCUAAUUUAGGACUUUGAAUGUGCUGGAAUUCCCAAAUUUGAUGUGCAUUCAUCAAUAAUUUCGGAAAUCAUUGGCAGAGGGAACUAUAUGAGAAGGAGAAGUUUCAUCACGCAAAAUCAAAAGGAGGAGAUGCAUUCCAGGAAGCGCAGUACCUUAUGGUAGCGCACUGGUUUGAAGAGGGGAGACUUAAGCGACAUAACUGGCAUAUGAAACCGUUGAAGUCAGCAGACCCAGUCUCCAUGUCUGCUGUCUGGAGAUGUUACCAGACACAACCUACUAUGCCAGGAAAAUCGGUAAUGGACGGCAUCAAUAUUUCAAGUUCAAUUCCGAACAUGAGCACUGUCUUGCGAUGUUAUGGGCCCUGUUGCACCUUCCUUUACUAGAAUUGCUGUUGUGCAGAGUAAUAAGGAAAAGUGAUAUUUUUAUCCCGUGUCAGGAAAAAUGAUAUUUUCGCG